UACGUAGGGUGCGAGCGUUAAUCGGAAUUACUGGGCGUAAAGCGUGCGCAGGCGGUUGUGUAAGACAGAUGUUAAAUCCCCGGGCUUAACCUGGGAAUUGCAUUUGAGACUGCACGACUAGAGUGUGUCAGAGGGGGGUGGAAUUCCACGUGUAGCAGUGAAAUGCGUAGAUAUGUGGAGGAACACCAAUGGCGAAGGCAGCCCCCUGGGAUAACACUGACGCUCAUGCACGAAAGCGUGGGGAGCAAACAGG
rnacentral:rRNA from 1 species